GAUGAACGCUAGCUACAGGCUUAACACAUGCAAGUCGCGGGGCAGCAUGGGGGUUGCUUGCAAUCCCCGAUGGCGACCGGCGCACGGGUGAGUAACGCGUAUCCAACCUGCCCUUCACCACGGGAUAACCCGGCGAAAGUCGGACUAAUACCGUAUGUUGUCCAUUGACGGCAUCCGAUUUGGACGAAAGGUUUGGCGGUGAAGGAUGGGGAUGCGUCCGAUUAGCUGGACGGCGGGGUGACGGCCCACCGUGGCGACGAUCGGUAGGGGUUCUGAGAGGAAGGUCCCCCACACUGGAACUGAGACACGGUCCAGACUCCUACGGGAGGCAGCAGUGAGGAAUAUUGGUCAAUGGGCGUAAGCCUGAACCAGCCAAGUAGCGUGCAGGAUGACGGCCCUAUGGGUUGUAAACUGCUUUUAUGCGAGGAUAAAGUGGCCCACGUGUGGGUUUUUGCAGGUACCGCAUGAAUAAGGACCGGCUAAUUCCGUG
rnacentral:rRNA from 1 species